UACGUAGGGUGCAGGCGUUAAUCGGAAUUACUGGGCGUAAAGCGUGCGUAGGCGGUUUGUUAAGACAGGUGUGAAAUCCCCGGGCUUAACCUGGGAACUGCGCUUGUUACUGGCAGACUGGAGUGUGGCAGAGGGGGGUGGAAUUCCAGGUGUAGCAGUGAAAUGCGUAGAUAUGUGGAGGAAUACCGAUGGCGAAGGCAGCCCCCUGGGAUAACACUGACGCUCGAUGCACGAAAGCGUGGGGAGCGAAACAGG
rnacentral:rRNA from 1 species